CCACUAGUUCAUCCUGUGUGGUUGAUGAUUUGCUUAGAGAAAGUGAGGCCAUUAAUGAACUUAUAGUUGACAUGCAUGAUUCUCUUGAUCUUGUUAGCCAGUUAAUUUGUUAAGGGAGUUUGAGUUGGAAUUUAUGGUAUCUUUGAAUGCAUUUUUAAGUGAGUUAAUACUAAGUAGGAUUUGUUAGCUGCGCAAAUGUUGUUGCCAUUCACUGUUUUAAAAUUUCUUAAUCCUGAAUUUUGUUACUGAUUGUGGUUGCUUCUUAAUGAGACUAAUGAAAAAGUUGUACUCAGCAAAUCUAAUCUUUUAGCUUCAGCUAUCUAUUAUUCCCUCCUUCAAUUUAUUUCUCCUUCAGUUGUCAUUGCUGCAUAUACACUUCAUAGUUAUUGUUGACUGUAUAUUCUUUAUAUUGGUGCUACUAAUUUAAUUUAAUUUGAGUUUGUUACCUAUCAGGAGUUAUUACUUCCUAUAUUGUUAAUUGUUAUUCUUAAAUUCUGAUUUUGUAUGUAAAUAAUCAAAAAUUGAGAACUACGUAAAGUCAAUGCAAUUUGAGUAGUCAAUAUUAUUGCUGCAAUGUGGCUUUAUCUUUUCUUAUUGUUCUAGUUUCUUUGUAUUUUUUUCUCCCUAGUUCUCCUGAUUUUCUAACACUGCAAUCCUAGAAAUGGAACAUGUUUAAAGGAGAAAUAAGUGUUGAAGAAGAGACUCUCAUUAUUCGUGCUUUAUUCCUUUGCCACACACACUCAAUUCAAGUGAAAAGAGAAAAAUAUUAUGUUAUAUAUUCCUUUUUAAAAAAAUAAUUUUGAAACAAACAUGCUUCGUCCCAAAGUUUGAAACAAACAUUCUUCUUCUUGCCAAACUCUACACUCCAUUAGUUGUUAAAUAUCCGUACGCCUUAUAUUCAAAAAUGACCAUGUUCUUGCACGCAUUUUUACACUAUUUAAAUAAUUACAAAGUAUAUACAUAACCAUUUUCUAUGUUUAUGGCUACCUAUCAUUUUCUCUGUCCAUAUUUUAAAGAACUCCUUUGUAUUAUUUGGGUUAGACCAAUUUAAAUUUUUACACCUAAGCUAUUUAAGCUUUGUUCUACAAUGAAUAAAGAGGUGCUCUCUUUAAUUCACUUCACUUAUACAUGCAUAAAUUACAGUAAACAUCACUCGCUUGUACAAUAUUUAGUUUAACCAAUAAUUUCUCUUUUGCAUUUAGUAAUUCUGCUAAACAUAAAUUACAACCCCACAUAAGCUAUCAAAAAUGUCUUUGGAUUGUGAUUGUUGAGCAUUAUCUCGGUCACCUUUUGUGUAAAAUCAAUCCUAUGUCCAAUGUAUGUGAGAGUAUUUGUAAUACUAAAAUAUUCUGUCAGGUCAAAAAUUGGUUACUAAAAAAAUCAAAUAUGUUAUAUAACCUAAUAUUUUUUUGUGUUGAGAUUGAACAAGUCUACUUGCAUUAUUAUGUUGAAGACUACUGCUAUUUUUUUUUGCCUUGAACCUGUUAUUAAUUCAAAGAUUUCAUAUUUCAAUUUAUUUUGGUUUGGAUUUACUGUUGUGCUGAUAAAUACCAAAUUUUGUACAUAUAGUUUGCACUUAUAUAUUAAAUUUUGCUGUUGUGCUGAUAUUUUUUGGCAAUGAAGAUUUUCUACUUUAUGUAGGGAUACAUUUCUAUAUGAGAAAAAAAAUAUUCAAAUGCUUGUUUCAAUGUUAUGAUCCGAAUGCAGUAUAUUAAGAUGUCUAGGAUAGGUCGUUACACAAAGAUAUCCAAGUUAAACACAGCAUGUCAGCAAUGUCAAGUAGGAUCUUCUGCGACUUCAACCUCCCAUCAAGUUGACUGCCUAAUUCCCCCGUCCAGUGGCGGUUUUUCCCCCGUAGCCUCAUCUAUACGCCCCUUUCACCCGCCCCAUAGCGAACCACCGCCUGCUCCACAGACUUGCACGAAUAAUAUUCAAAACUCGGAGCCGAACGAUGAAGACUUAGACUUAGAGGCAGAUGAGGUAGAUUCUUUUAAGCAACAUGUUGACAACCUGUUUAUUGCAUCGGAGGCUUAGAAGCGCAAGAGACGUAAGACCGCUAAAUUUUGGGAUGUUAAAACAAUUGAAUCUAAUGGCACAAUCAAACAAGCUCAUUUGAGUGUGAAAGAAGCUAUGAAGCCACCUAACGGUAGAAAAAUCAUACUCAGAUUCAAGGAGAACCUGCAACCAGUUAGAGCUGAAGCUGGUAUACUGAGUGGCGUCUCAGAUUGCUAGGAUCUGACUACACCAAAUUUCCAAUCUGCGAGAAAGACUGGAGAAAGGUUCACUUCAAGGACAAGAUCUAUAAUGAAUUUGUAAAGAAAUGUUCCAUUUUGAUGAAGAUAGUGGAGGAAUUAUCAAGCGUACAAUUUUAAAAAUGCUAGGGAGGGCUUGGAAGGAAACGAGGAACAUCUUGUACUAUGAUCAUUACGACUCACAACUGACUAUUGGACAAAAUAUUGAAGGCCGCCCACCGAAAAUUACUAUGGACCAUUGGAGACGGUACCUUGAUUAUCACAACAGUGAAGACACAAAGGAGAAGUGUAGAAAAAAUGCUGCGAAUCGAUUGAAGCAGCUAUACACUCACAUUAGCAGAUUGAAAAGCUUGGCAAGGCUUGGAGAAGAAGAGCCAGAACGAUAACGGAAGUGAGUUGGUAGAUGAGAGUUGUGGACCUUAACACACAACGACCUAAUGGUUCCUAUAUCCAUGGUGCAGCUCGGGCUAUUGGUGAAAAAAUUGCAGAGAUUGAGUAACAUGAUGAAUCCUCUAGACUGUUGUCUCAAAAUGAUUCGCUUGCUCAAGCUCUCGGAAAGAAGCACUCGGGUAGAGUGCGUGGCAUGGGUAUUGGACCGACUUCUAGUUAAGUCUUCAGUACGAAUUUCCAUCAGCUGAGCAAUGGAGCUCAAAGAGAGGAGACCCAAAGAGUGCUCAGAGCUGGCAACUGAGAAAUUAAAAAGGAAGGCAGUGGAGGGUGAAGUAGUAGCCGAGAAGACAAAAAAGCAGGCAGUCAAGGAUGAAGUAGUAGCCGAGAAGACAAAAAGACAGAUAGUGGAGGAUGAGGUAGCAGUCGAGAAGACAAAAAGGCAGUCAGUGGAGGAUGAAUUAUCAGCCGAAAAGAUAAAGAUGAAGGCGAUGGAGAGUGCUCUGAGAUGUCUAAUUCAAGAGCAAGGUGGGGAGCUGCCACCAGAUGUCACUGCAUGGAUGAAUUCGUUUGAGGGACAGAGUGGAAAAUAGAUUUUAUGUUGAACUUUUUUUUUAAAUAUAGACUUUUUAUUAUUGAUAUGCAACCCUUAUUAAAGAAUACACUUAAUUAAUAUUUGGAUAAAUAUAUGAAUUUGCUUUAUAGUUUUGCU